rnacentral:miRNA from 2 species
CUUACCCUGUAAAUCGGAGAAGU